rnacentral:rRNA from 1 species
GCAUGUGGUUUAAUUCGAUGCAACGCGAAGAACCUUACCUGGUCUUGACAUCCACGGAAGUUUUCAGAGAUGAGAAUGUGCCUUCGGGAACCGUGAGACAGGUGCUGCAUGGCUGUCGUCAGCUCGUGUUGUGAAAUGUUGGGUUAAGUCCCGCAACGAGCGCAACCCUUAUCCUUUGUUGCCAGCGGUCCGGCCGGGAACUCAAAGGAGACUGCCAGUGAUAAACUGGAGGAAGGUGGGGAUGACGUCAAGUCAUCAUGGCCCUUACGACCAGGGCUACACACGUGCUACAAUGGCGCAUACAAAGAGAAGCGACCUCGCGAGAGCAAGCGGACCUCAUAAAGUGCGUCGUAGUCCGGAUUGGAGUCUGCAACUCGACUCCAUGAAGUCGGAAUCGCUAGUAAUCGUGGAUCAGAAUGCCACGGUGAAUACGUUCCCGGGCCUUGUACACACCGCCCGUCACACCAUGGGAGUGGGUUGCAAAAGAAGUAGGUAGCUUAACCUUCGGGAGGGCGCUUACCACUUUGUGAUUCAUGACUGGGGUGAAGUCGUAACAAGGUAACCGUAGGGGAACCUGCGGUUGGAUCACCUCCUU